rnacentral:rRNA from 1 species
GUCGACGAUUAACUUCCCUUCGGGGAAGAAUAAAGUGGCGCACGGGUCCAUUACACGUAGGUAAUGUGCCUUUGGGUGGGGAAUAACUUACGUUAACUUAAGCUAAUACCGCAUAAUGCAGCGGCUCCUUCGGGAGACAGUUGUUAAAGAUUUAUCGCCUAAAGAGCAGCCUGCGGCAGAUUAGCUAGUUGGUAAGGUAAUGGCUUACCAAGGCGACGAUCUGUAUCCGACCUGAGAGGGUGGUCGGACACACUGACACUGAAUAACGGGUCAGACUCCUACGGGAGGCAGCAGUCGGGAAUUUUGGGCAAUGGGCGAAAGCCUGACCCAGCAACGCCGCGUGAAGGAUGAAGUCUUUCGGGAUGUAAACUUCGUAAGAAUAGGAAGAAUAAAUGACGGUACUAUUUGUAAGGUCCGGCUAACUACGUGCCAGCAGCCGCGGUAAUACGUAGGGACCAAGCGUUGUUCGGAUUUACUGGGCGUAAAGGGCGCGUAGGCGGCGUGUCAAGUCAAUUGUGAAAUCUCCGAGCUUAACUCGGAACGGUCAAUUGAUACUGAUGUGCUAGAGUGCAGAAGGGGCAAUCGGAAUUCUUGGUGUAGCGGUGAAAUGCGUAGAUAUCAAGAGGAACACCUGAGGUGAAGACGGGUUGCUGGGCUGACACUGACGCUGAGGCGCGAAAGCUAGGGUAGCAAACGGGAUUAGAUACCCCGGUAGUCCUAGCCCUAAACGAUGAAUACUUGGUGUCUGGAGUUUUAAUUCUCCGGGUGCCGUCGCUAACGUUUUUAGUAUUCCGCCUGGGGAGUACGCACGCAAGUGUGAAACUCAAAGGAAUUGACGGGGACCCGCACAAGCGGUGGAGCAUGUGGUUUAAUUCGACGCAACGCGAAGAACCUUUCCUGAACUAGAAUGCGAGGGAAGACUGGGUAAUGCCAGUCGUCGGGCAACCGACCCAAAACAAGGUGCUGCAUGGCUGUCGUCAGCUCCUGUCGUGAGAUGUUGGGUUUUUUCCCGCGGCGAGCGCAACCCCUAUUAACAGUUGCUAACAAGUAAUGUUGAGAACUCUGUUAAGACUGCCGUUGAUAAAACGGAGGAAGGUGGGGAUGAUGUCAAGUCAUCAUGGCCUUUAUGUCCAGGGCUACACACGUGCUACAAUGGACGGUACAAAACAACGCAAUCUCGCAAGAGUGAGCUACUCGCUGAA